GGUAUCGCAGCAGGAACCUAAGUACGCCCGAGGACUUCAGGAACCAUGCCGAAGCCACACAGUGAAGCGGGAACUGCCUUCAUUCAGACCCAGCAGCUCCAUGCAGCCAUGGCUGACACCUUCCUGGAACACAUGUGCCGCCUGGACAUUGACUCUGACCCCAUCACGGCCCGCAACACUGGCAUCAUUUGUACCAUUGGGCCUGCUUCCAGAUCUGUGGAGAUGCUGAAGGAGAUGAUUAAGUCUGGAAUGAAUGUGGCUCGGCUGAAUUUCUCUCAUGUAAAUACCAUGCAGAGACCAUCAAGAAUGUCCCUGAAGCCACAGAAAGCUUUGCAUCUGAUCCCGUUCUCUAUCGUCCUGUUGCUGUGGCUCUGGAUACAAAGGGACCUGAGAUCCGGACUGGACUCAUCAAGGGCAGCAGUACUGCUGAGGUGGAGCUGAAGAAGGGAGCCACUCUUAAGAUCACCCUGGACAACACUUACAUGGAGAAGUGUGACGAGAACAUCCUGCGGCUGGACUACAAGAACAUCUGCAAGGUGGUGGAGGUGAGCAGCAAGAUCUACGUGGACGAUGGGCUCAUCUCACUGCAGGUGAAGGAGAAAGGUUCUGACUUCCUGAUGACAGAGGUGGAGAAUGGUGGCUCCUUGGGCAGCAAGAAGGGCGUGAACCUGCCCGGCGCUGCUGUGGAUCUCCCUGCUGUAUCGGAAAAGGACAUCCAGGACCUGAAGUUUGGGGUGGAGCAGGAUGUGGACAUGGUGUUUGCAUCUUUCAUCCGCAAGGCAGCCUACGUGCAUGAAGUCAGGAAGGUGCUGGGAGAGAAGGGCAAGAACAUCAAGAUCAUCAGCAAAAUCCAGAACCAUGAAGGUGUCCGCAGGUUUGAUGAGAUCUUGGAGGCCAGUGAUGGGAUCAUGGUGGCUCGUGGUGACCUGGGCAUUGAGAUUCCUGCAGAGAAGGUCUUCCUGGCUCAAAAGAUGAUGAUCGGGCGAUGCAACUGAGCUGGGAAGCCUGUCAUCUGUGCCACACAGAUUCUAGAGAGCAUGAUCAAGAAGCCACAGGCAGAGUCUGCCAUCUACCACUUGCAGCUAUUCGAGGAACUCCGCUGCCUGGCGCCCAUUACCAGCGACCACAGAAGCUGCCGCCGUGGGUGCCGUGGAGGCCUCCUUCAAGUGCUGCAGUGGGGCCAUUAUCGUGCUCACCAAGUCUGGCAGGAGUGCUCACCAAGUGGCCAGGUACUGCCCUGGGGCUCCUAUCAUUGCCGUGACGCGCAAUCCCCAGACUGCUCUCCAGGCCCAUCUGUACUGUGUCAUCUUCCCUGUGCUGUGUAAGGAUGCCGUAUUGAAUGCCUGGGCUGAGGAUGUCGACCUUCGUGUAAACUUGGCCAUGGAUGUUGACAAGGCCCGGGGCUUCUUCAAGAAGGGAGAUGUGGUCAUUGUGCUGACCGGGUGGCGCCCUGGCUCUGGAUUCACCAACACCAUGCGUGUAGUGCCUGUACCUUGAUGGCCCUCUGGAGCCCCUCUUCUAGCCCCUGUCCCUUCCCCUCCCC